rnacentral:lncRNA from 1 species
AAGUACAUUAGCACAUAGCACAAGGCCCACUCUGAAACCCACCUGUGUAGAACUUCAUGAGGGACGGCACCAGCAAUUUGGUAGAGAGAGGAUGGUUCUCAAUCAUCUCAAAGAACUUCUGAGUUCUCGGCUGGACAGAAGGGUUGGUCAUAAACAUGACCUCCACCAGCUUGGCCACUAGCAUCAACAGUUCUGUGCUACUCUCAAGCAAAACAUUUGUCUGCUAGGCUGCGACAUCUCAGAGGGCCUGCCAGAGGAGACACACACAGGGGCCACAUCGUGCUAAGUGGAUGUUGAGCUUCUUACAGACCCCUUAGUCACAACAAUGGAAUACAAGGGAGGCUACAGAUCUGAAAGAAGAGCUCUGGUUAUUCUGCAUCCUGACGUUCGGAGCCACGAGGAUGAGAGGGCCAGGCCCACGUCACUCACAGAGUUCUGUCAGCCACUCAUUCACAUCCUCCAUCGUUGCAUUUAUCCGUGUCUCAUCAUUCGGGAGAGUGAUCCGACAUCUCGGGUGGAAUAUGUACAUGCCUCCUGAGUGCUCGGCAGCACCUGUGAAGGCAGAAGAGGGAAAUCCUCUGGAGCUGGAGUUCCAGGCUAUGCUGCAAACCACACUCCAGCCAUGCAGAAGAGCAUCAUACACUCCUGACUGCUAAGCUGUCUUCCCAGCCCCAAUCCUCUGUUGCAUCUCCAUUUAUUAUUACUGUAUGUGUGUCUGGGGAAAGGGGGAGUAGAGUAUGUAUGUGGGAUCUCUCAUCUUGACGUGGGGGGUUCCAGUUGUCAGGCUUGAACAGAAAGCAAUUAGUAACUCAAGAGCAAGCUAUCUCAUUAUGCUUGAUGUUUAAAUCCCAAGUAUGGUUUGCUUGUUGUUCUGAAAACCAGCAAGAUGCCUCUGACAGUCAUCCUUUGUGCUGGCUCCCCAGAAUAGCAAGGCACAUUCCCACAGUGCCUCACUCGAUGCUGUCUAGGACUGGCAGUAGCGGAGUAUGGAAAGCUGCCAAUACACUAGGGUGGCUCAGGACACAGUCACACAAGUGUCUGGCCUACAGCAGGGUCUCAGGUUUUACAUCUGAAGGUGAGAGUGAUCUACACGUGUAAUCUCAGCACUCGAGAGGAGGGCGCAGGGCCAUGAGCUAAUGCAAACACGAGACUGU